CCACGUCACCAACACAGACCACAAGCUCAGCCUUCUUUCUUUCCCACCAGCCCGACCCUUCUUUAUUUCCCACGAGCCCUUCUUUCUAUCCCACGAGCGCUACUCCAUGACCUUGUUGCUUACUCUGCCGACAACGCCCAGCCAGUCUCCCAAAAUGCCUUAAUCCUUUUGUUUCUUCCAUUAUCGAUAUCAUCUGGUCUCACUUCAAGAAAUCAGAUUCAGCAGAAGGUCCGUUGUGUGAAGACUGCAUCUUCUGGUUCGACACGAAUAGGAGGGUUGAGCGAUCUCAACCAAUAUCUACCUUGACCAACAUAGAGUUCAACCCUCUCUUUACUCUUUAGAACCGAGGAUCCGGACUUAACUUCAUUUUUUAGGAACGAUCCAUUUGAUACUUGGCUUCUUGAGAUCCCAUGUAGGCUAACAUGAUAUCAACGAAGUCCUUGGUUUGGCCUUGGUUCUAGCUUGAGCAUGCUCAUCAAUAAUCUUCUCAAAAAAAUCAUCAAAGACCUUGCAAAUAGCCUUAAAGCGCCGUUUUAGUCCCUGAAUAUCAAUUCAAACCAGGAUUAAGUAAGAGAGAGGGACAGAAAGAACAUUCGAGAGAGAGAGAAAGACAGAACGUACCAAGAUCCUGAAAGAAUCAGACAAGAACAAGCUGCCAUGAAAGCAUAAUCUGUUUUUAGGGGUUAUUUGAUAUAUAUAAGCAUUCUAUGUGAAGGCUCGCCGAGCAUUUCGGGCCCUCAAAGGAAUAAUAAGGUUGCAGGCGCUUGUUCAUGGGCACUUGGUGAGGAGACAAGUUGUUUCUACUCUACACUGUAUGCUGGGAAUUGUGAAGUUACAGGCCAUUGCUCUUGGAAGAAAAAUCAAGCAUUCUGAUAUUGGCUCCGAAGUGCAAAAAAAGUGCAUUCUAGUGAAGCCUUUGGAGAGCAAGCAUGUGGAUCCUGUUGGAGUCUUCAAAUCCGCACGAAUAGCAAAGCUUUCAGCAACUGCUUUUGUUUAUAAGUUGACAUUCCUGGUAAUCAAGUUGUAGACACGGAACUUACACUUGCGGGGUGUUUGCCCUUUUUUGACCUUUUUGUUCUAUCUGGAAUUGACCGAUUGAAUGACGGAGUUGAGUCCUUGGCAAAGCAUGGGCAUGCGGAUUGCAUGUUUCUUUUUUGGGGUUUUUGAUUGUUGGCUUCUCAAAGUGUGGGACUCUAUUUUUUAUGUUCACACCUUGGUACGUACUUGAAUUUUGUACAAUGGACAACGAGGUGGAGGAAGUGUGAAAAAGUGGAAGUUAACUUGCGCCAGGAAUUAAUAAACAAUGUGAAGAUUGAUAUCUAUUUUUGGAAAAUAUUGAAUUUUCUUUUUAAUUUUGGCAUGUUGAACAAUUAAUAAUGAAUUGUAAAUUAAUACCUUACUCUUUUGAUAUGUUUAAUGGUGAAUUUAAACAUGGAUUAUUUUUGGUA